AACGAACGCUGGCGGCAGGCUUAACACAUGCAAGUCGAACGCCCCGCAAGGGGAGUGGCAGACGGGUGAGUAACGCGUGGGAAUCUACCCAGUUCUACGGAACAACUGAGGGAAACUUCAGCUAAUACCGUAUACGCCCUACGGGGGAAAGAUUUAUCGGAAUUGGAUGAGCCCGCGUUGGAUUAGCUAGUUGGUGGGGUAAUGGCCUACCAAGGCGACGAUCCAUAGCUGGUCUGAGAGGAUGAUCAGCCACACUGGGACUGAGACACGGCCCAGACUCCUACGGGAGGCAGCAGUGGGGAAUAUUGGACAAGGGGCGAAGGACUGAUACAGCCAUGCCGCGUGCAGGAUGAAGGCCUUCGGGUUGUAAACCUCUUUCAGCAGGGACGAAGCGAAAGUGACGGUACCUGCAGAAGAAGCACCGGCCAACUACGUGCCAGCAGCCGCGGUAAAAC
rnacentral:rRNA from 1 species